GAAAAGGGCGGUGAAUACAAUAAUAAAAAAAUCACGUAAAACGCAAAUCGAAAAGGGGCUCAUCGGAGGGAUUUUGGAAUUUUAGCCACGGCGACUCUCUGAGCUUUACUCGCAAUUUCUGGCUUACCUAUCAUUCCUCUUGCUCAGAUUUGGCAACAAUGGUACACGAAAUCGAAUUCUGAGUGAGUAGAGAGAAUUUUUACCUUUUUUUAGCAGUUGGUAGUGGCUUCGGUGUGGCGGCGGUAGGCGGUCGGCCUCCUUCUCUAGCGUCUAUUUCUUCUUCUCCGGCGGGGGCUGGCAGCUAGAGUUUAAGUUCCUGUGUGAUGCGAAGUAUUUAUAACCAUUCUGCGUUGAUUUGGACCAUCCAUCACGAUCGAUCUUGUCCGUCCGAUUGCGCCUAAGGAAGAAACAAAUAUGGACCGUUCAUCGCGAUUAAUCUCGACCGUUCGAUUACGCCUAAGAAAGAAAUAGAUUA
rnacentral:lncRNA from 1 species